AAGAGUGAACGGUAUUGACAUAAGAGUGAAUGGGUAUGAGAUAACAGUGAGUGUAUGAGAUAAGAGUGACGGUUGAGAUAAGAGUGAAGCGGUAUGAGAAUAAGAGUGAGGGUAUGAGAUAAGAGUGAACGGUAUGAGAUAGAGUGAAGGGUAUGCAGAUAAGAGUGAAGGCGUAUGAGAUAGAGUGAAGCGGUAUGAGAUAAGAGUGAACGGUAUGAGAUAAGAGUGAACGGUAGAGAUAAGAGUGAAGUGUAUGAGAUAAGAGUGAAGUGUAUGAGAUAAGAGUGAAGUGUAUGAGAUAAGAGUGAAGGGUAUGAGAUAAGAGUGAAGGGUUAGUAGAUGAAACAGAGUUACUAGAUGAAACUAAGGGGUAGCAGGGCCGUAGCUUCGGAAUCGGUUGGGGGGGGGGGGUGCAGCUGCCCCUAGAUUUUGGAGCAAAACCAAAAAAUUAGCUUACGUAAUGUUAAAUGCUGUUAGAUAUACUUAUUACAAUUAUUGACGUUUUUGCCCUAGUUUGUACCUUAUUGUACACAGUUCAUUCCCAAGUGAAAUAUUCUACAAAAAUGUAGUGUUUCUGUGGCAUGAUCAUGUUGAUGCAGUACAUAGACCAUGCACGGACUCAAGGGGAGAUGUAGCCGGUCAAAUAAUAUGAGUACGUUUUGUUGUGUGUUUCCUUCAAAACAGGCGUGAUUUCUAAGGAAUUGCAAAUUGCAAAUUGCACCGGAU